GUCUCCGGAGCCGGCGGCCAGCCGAGACUGCGAGUGCUGAGAAGGCGACAGCAGAGCAGGGCCCGGUAGUGGCGCGAGGUUGUCUGGGAAUUGACUUGCUCUCUGUGUAUCAGUUUCUCUCGUCUGUAAAGUGGAGCCUAGGGGCUGCUUUCCUCCGUGAGGUGGUGAGGGAUCCAGCCACUGUGGACAUGUGCAAGGGGCCCACCCCUGGGUCCAGAUGACACUCAUGUCGAUGGCUUCAGUGAUGGCGGUGACUGAACCAAAAUGGGUCUCAGUCUGGGGCCGCUUCCUGUGGGUGAUACUGCUGAGCAUGGCGCUGGGCUCCCUGAUGGCCCUGCUGCUGCCGCUGGGGGCCAUGGAGGAGCAGUGUCUGGCUGUGCUCAAAGGCUUCUACCUGCUCAGGAGCAAGUUGGACAGGGCCCAGCCUACUGUCACCAAGUGCACCAGACCAUCCACGGAGCUCAGUGUCACCUCCAGGGAUGCAGCACCGCUGGUGGUCAAGACCAAGGCCUCUGCAGCCAGCAAGUUAGAAGCCAAAGCAGCUUUGAACCAAGCCCUGGAAAUGAAACGCCAGGGCAAGCGGGAGAAAGCCCACAAGCUCUUCCUGCACGCCCUCAACAUGGACCCGGGCUUCGUGGACGCGCUCAAUGAGUUCGGCAUCUUCUCAGAAGAGGACAGGGACAUCAUCCAGGCUGACUACCUGUACACCAGAGCACUGACCAUCGCGCCCCACCACAAGAAGGCGCUGGUCAACCGCGACCGCACGCUGCCGCUGGUGGAGGAGAUUGACCAGCGGUACUUCAGCAUCAUCGACAGCAAAGUGAAGAAGGUCAUGUCCAUCCCCAAGGGCAACUCGGCACUGCGCCGGGUCAUGGAGGAGACGUACUACCACCACAUCUACCACACAGUGGCCAUCGAAGGCAACACUCUCACCCUCUCAGAGAUCAGGCACAUCCUGGAGACCCGCUACGCCGUGCCGGGGAAGAGCCUGGAGGAGCAGAAUGAGGUCAUUGGCAUGCACGCGGCCAUGAAGUACGUCAACACGACGCUGCUCUCCCGCAUCGGCUCUGUCAGCAUCAGUGACGUGCUGGAGAUCCACCGGCGGGUGCUGGGGUACGUGGAUCCCGUGGAAGCUGGCCGCUUUCGCACGACCCAGGUCCUGGUGGGCCACCACGUCCCGCCCCACCCUCAGGAGGUGGAGAAGCAGAUGCAGGAGUUCAUACAAUGGCUCAACUCGGAGGACGCCAUGAACCUGCACCCGGUGGAGUUUGCGGCCCUGGCCCACUAUAAACUCGUCUACAUCCACCCCUUCAUCGACGGCAACGGCAGGACCUCGCGCCUGCUCAUGAACCUCAUCCUCAUGCAGGCGGGCUACCCGCCCAUCACCAUCCGCAAGGAGCAGAGGUCCGAGUACUACCACGUGCUGGAGGUGGCCAACGAGGGCGACGUGAGGCCGUUCAUCCGCUUCAUUGCCAAGUGCACAGAGACAACCCUGGACACCCUGCUCUUUGCCACCACAGAGUACCCUGUGGCACUGCCAGAGGCCAGACCCAACCACUCUAGGUUCAAGGAGACGCUGCCUGUGAAGCCCUAAUGCUCUAAAUCCUCCCUUGGUGGCAAAGGAUGUCCCGGGGGGGAAUAAAUCCAAGAAACUCAGCAAUUCUAGAAACCUAGUCAUCUCCCAGAGUAAAAGAAGAUGGGUAGGAAACCUAAACAUUCUUUACCUCCAAAUGCUUCUUUAAAGAAGAAAACUAAGUUAUUAAGCCUUGUCUAAGAUAACUUAUAAUUGAGCCCAGUUAUUUAUUUCCCUCAGAGCUGGUUAAAUGUGUGCUGUCUGUGCUGGUGGCCCCGAUCCUUGGGGUGGCCCCAGCAGGCUUUGGGGGCAUCAGUGCUCCUUGUGUGACCAGAACACAGGUUCUGGAGCAGAAUCUGCACUGAGGUGGGGUCCGGAGGAGUAACCCCUUGCAGCCCUUUCUGGAACCGGCCGCGAGGGUCUGUGACUACCUGAGAGAAGUCCGCGCGGCUGAGGAGAACCCGGUCGCAGUUGUGAGAAGUGACUGAAAGCUUCCUUUCGUACAGGCGUUGGCUCCCCUACCAAGAGAACAGUCAACACCCUGCACCUGAAUCGGGUCCUGCUCGAGUCUGAAAGGUCCACCUCUGUAACAAGCCCCUGUGGACAUCUGAGAGGAACGGGCCUCUCUGCAGGGAAGUGGAUGGCCGGCCACCCCAGAGAACACAGGUUCUUCUGACUGCUCCACAGCCGCUGCUUGAAUUCAAAAACACCUAACGUUCUGUGCAGAAGAUAAAGAUGAGGUACAGAGAACCUAUCAAUUAAAAAACUUAUUUACAAAACAACAUGAAAUUGGAGAUCUGCCUGGAUGGUUGAUAACAUUAAGGUAUUACUGCUAAUGUUUCUAGAAAUGAUAAAAACCAAGGCCUUUAAGUCCUUAGAGAUACGUGCUACAGUAUUAUUAGGUGACUAUCCCUCCAGAACACAGGCUACAAGAGGGGCAGGAGGUGGAGAUGAAGACGGGCUAUGAGCUGAGCAAUGCUGAAGCUCGAUGACAGGCACACGGGGCUUAGUUUACUACUUAUCUGUUUCAAUUGUUAAGUUAAAAAAUAUAGGAAAGCCUGAAUGAUGCAUAAAACCUUUAGAAACAGAUAAAUGAGCUGAUUUUCAUGACAUAGGAAAGAAUUCCGGUUUUUUUCCCCAGAGUGCCUUUUAUAAAGUCAGUUUCCCUACUGAACUGCCAGUGUCACUUUCAAAGCAAUAAAUACUGGAUAAAAGAUGUGGGUAAAAAAGCUUGAAAGCUGUUAAGUGCCAAACUGCUGUAAACUGAAGUUUAAAACCGAAGAUAUCACAGCAGAAAUGGUUUAAAUCAAAGUGCCAAGCGGAUUUGACUUACAAAAGUUCUA